rnacentral:lncRNA from 1 species
CAAUGAGUCGGGUCAAGGGUUUCGAAUACUAUUUUUCAUAAACAUGAAAACUGUUCAAGUGAACACUGAAAAACAGAUCAAACAUUGAAAUAAAAAGUUGAAAAUCGAAGUAAAAGGAAAGGGGAUCUCGAAAACUCGAUGAACAAAAAGGAGAAACUCGAAUUUCUAAGGAAGAAAUUGAGAGAAAACGGAGCGAGAGAAAGAGGAAUUUUUUUUUAGAGAAUGGGAGCG